rnacentral:rRNA from 1 species
AUUGAACGCUGGCGGCAUGCCUUACACAUGCAAGUCGAACGGCAGCACGGGAGCAAUCCUGGUGGCGAGUGGCGAACGGGUGAGUAAAGUAUCGGAACGUGCCCAGUCGUGGGGGAUAACGUAGCGAAAGUUACGCUAAUACCGCAUACGAUCUAUGGAUGAAAGCGGGGGAUCGCAAGACCUCGCGCGAUUGGAGCGGCCGAUAUCAGAUAGGUAGUUGGUGGGGGAAAGGCUCACCAAGCCGACGAUCUGUAGCUGGUCUGAGAGGACGACCAGCCACCCUGGGACGGGGACACGGCCCAGACUCCUACGGGGGGCAGCAGUGGGGAAUUUUGGACAAUGGGCGAAAGCCUGAUCCAGCCAUGCCGCGUGCAGGAUGAAGGCCUUCGGGUUGUAAACUGCUUUUGUACGGAACGAAAAGGUUUGGCCUAAUAAGCUGAGCUCAUGACGGUACCGUAAGAAUAAGCACCGGCUAACUACGUGCCAGCCGCCGCCGUAA